AACGAACGCUGGCGGCAUGCCUAACACAUGCAAGUCGAACGAGACCUCCGGGUCUAGUGGCGCAUGGGUGCGUCACGCGUGGGAACCUGCACUUAGGUUUCGAAUAACUCUCCGAAAGGGGUGCUAACAUCGGAUAAUGUCUUCUGACAAAAGAUUUAUCGUCUUUGGAUGGGCGCGCGUUGGAUUAGCUAGUUGGUAGGGUAAAAGCCUACAAAGGCGACGAUCCAUAGCUGGUCUGAGAGGAUGAUCAGCCACACUGCGACGGGGACAAGGCGCAGACUCCUACGAAAGGCAGCAGUGGGGAAUAUGGGAUACUGGGCGAGAGCCGGAGCCAGCAAUGCCGCGUAAGUGAUGAAGGCGUUAGGAUAAUAAGGCUCUUUUACCCGGGAUGAUAAGAACGGAACCGAGAGAAAAGGCUCGGGCAAACUCGGU
rnacentral:rRNA from 1 species